ACGGGAGGCAGCAGUGGGGAAUAUUGGGCAAUGGGCGAAAGCCUGACCCAGCAACGCCGCGUGAAGGAAGAAGGUUUUCGGAUUGUAAACUUCUUUUAUCAGGGACGAAGAGAGUGACGGUACCUGAUGAGUAAGCCACGGCUAACUACGUGCCAGCAGCCGCGGUAAUACGUAGGUGGCAAGCGUUAUCCGGAUUUAUUGGGUGUAAAGGGCGCGUAGGCGAGGAUGCAAGUCAGAUGUGAAAUCCAUGGGCUUAACCCAUGAACUGCAUUUGAAACUGUAUUUCUUGAGUGUCGGAGAGGUAGACGGAAUUCCUAGUGUAGCGGUGAAAUGCGUAGAUAUUAGGAGGAACACCAGUGGCGAAGGCGGUCUACUGGACGAUAACUGACGCUGAGGCGCGAAAGCGUGGGGAGCAAACAGGAUUAGAUACCCUGGUA
rnacentral:rRNA from 1 species